ensembl:snoRNA SNORA70 Small nucleolar RNA SNORA70
UUGCAGCCAAUUCAACCUCCAUGCUCUUUUCCCCGUGGGGGCCUGGAGUGCAAUGGUUGCAAACAGCAGCCUCCUAGGUAGGGUAGUGUAUGAGCCUGUUGCCUGUAUGUGUUGCCCUAAGGGACCUUGGCAGCAGCC